UACGUAAGGGGCAAGCGUUGUUCGGAAUCAUUGGGCGUAAAGGGCGCGUAGGUGGUUCUGUAUGUCUACCGUGAAAGCGUACGGCUCAACCGUAUUUUGUCGGUAGAAACUGCAGGACUUGAGGCUGGGAGGGGCUGGUGGAAUUCCCUGUGUAGCGGUGAAAUGCGUAGAGAUGGGGGAGAACACUCGUGGCGAAGGCGGCCAGCUAGACCAGUUCUGACACUGAGGCGCGACAGCGUGGGGAGCAAACAGG
rnacentral:rRNA from 1 species